GGGGCCUGUCUCCGGGCACCCGGGACGCCCGUAGCCUGGCGGAGAGCGCCAGAGAGGGCCCCUGAAAAACCGGACCAGGGAAGAGGGUACCUCGGGGCGGAUGAGGGGACAGCUGCUAAGGGCCGAGGCUGCUGGGAAGCCUCAGUAGCGGCCGUGAAUACAGUGGAGCUCUGGCGCUGCUUAUUUCGGCCUAACUCUUAGUUUCCUCAUCUGAACAACCCCAGGCUCCCAUGGUUCGUUCAUCAGACGCUACUGAGCGCAAACCUCCUGGCACCCCAUCUUUACCCUAAGGCAGCAGUUCUCAUAAAGUGUGGUCUAGGGACCUCUGGAAAUCCCGAUGACCUCAGAACAAUUUUCAUAAUAAUACGGACACCUUGUCUGUCUUUCUCACGUUCCUUCUCUCACUAGUAUACCGUUUCCUGGAGGAUACGCUUUGUGUACGACGUCAUCACUGGCAGCUAAGGGAGCUUGCGUUUGUUGUUUUUAAACAUUUCUCAGUUUUCAUUUCAAUGCAGUAGUGAUAGGUGUAACCCACAUAAACAUAAGCUCUUUGGAGGUCACAGUAAUUCUUUAACAUUAUAGAGAGGCCCUGAGUCCAAAAAAUUUCAGAACUGCUGCCCUGGAUAAUCUCAGUCCGGGAGCGUUAGGUAAACGGCAUAAAUGAAAUUUACAAUUUAGUGAGAUGGCUAUGUGAUCCACCGGACUAAUGAGACAGAAGACAGUGUCCUUUGGAAGACAUUUGUAAAAGAACCCUCCCCCCACCAUUUAAAAAAAAGGAAAAGAAAAAAGGAGAGUUACAGGAGAGUCCUCCUCCUCCCUUCCUUUGCUGUCAUUAUUGGGAGUACAGAGGAAGGAUCCAAGGAGCAAGACACAGAAUUCUGAGGAGGAUGUUCCAUUGGCUGCUACUGGCCAUACUUUGGAAGAUCAGAGGAGGGUUCCCACAGAGCUGGAACUCACCUCUGAGAAGAGGAUAUUGCUCAGCUGCUUCUCGUGCCUCCAAGUGAACACAAUAGUGAUGCUGAUUCGUGAAGUUAGAAAGAAUGUGGAAACUAGAAAACCACAGCUAUAACCAACUGCUGCUGCUAAGUUCUGCCUCAUUGCAUGGGGACGUGCUUCAUUGAUUCCUAAAGCAUAGCUCCAGACAAAACCAAAAAUCUGUAGAGCAGAAGAGUUCUCAAAUCACCUCCACAGCUGUAAAAACCAGACCUAUCACAACUCACCAGCAAGGCUGGCAUGGUUAGAUAAGAAUGGGACUGUUUCAAGGGAAGGCUCCUUACAGCGAAGAAAAGGGUCAAAUCCAAUUAAAAUUGCAAAGGAAACUUCGUGAGGACGAAUGCCAUUAGCCCAAACUGGAAUGUGGCCAAAACACGGGCCUGGCAUAAGGGUUGGAAUUACAAGUCAGACAGGGCUGAGCAGCAAUCUUCAAGAAAAUUACUCUAAAUUGGCCUUCAUUAGCUCUCACGGCACUGAAAAACAACUCCAAUGCAUGCCUAUGGAAGGGAUUUCUUUGAUGGAAUUUUCCUGCUUAUCUAAAGCUUCAAGCAGCCUAAAGAAAACAGCAGAGCCACUAUCUUCAGGCUUGACCUCCGUCUUCUUACCAGUAAAAUGAGCAGCUAAGGCAACUCUUGGAGGUUUGAGGCUUGAGACGUGUGCCUGGAACCUGAAUAGCAGAGUUACAAAGCGCAUUCGCAAACAUCCUUGCAAAAUCGCAAAGAAGUGUCCACUGCUGCUUUAGAGCUGGCCAAAAGGAUGAGCCAAACAGGCUUCUACUCUGUCCUGAUAAUCAAAUGUUUUCAACCUCCCUCCGUGGGCACCUUCAACUUAUUUAUGUCUAAAAAUAUAUUGUCAAGACGCUU